rnacentral:rRNA from 1 species
GACGAACGCUGGCGGCGUGCCUAAUACAUGCAAGUCGAGCGAAUCUAAGGGAGCUUGCUCCCAAAGGUUAGCGGCGGACGGGUGAGUAACACGUGGGCAACCUGCCUGUAAGACUGGGAUAACUUCGGGAAACCGGAGCUAAUACCGGAUAAUUUCUUUUCUCGCAUGAGAGAAGAUGGAAAGAUGGGUUUCGGCUAUCACUUACAGAUGGACCCGCGGCGCAUUAGCUAGUUGGUGAGGUAACGGCUCACCAAGGCGACGAUGCGUAGCCGACCUGAGAGGGUGAUCGGCCACACUGGGACUGAGACACGGCCCAGACUCCUACGGGUGGCUG